rnacentral:rRNA from 1 species
UACGUAGGGGGGCAAGCGUUGUCCGGAUUUAUUGGGCGUAAAGAGCGUGUAGGCGGCUUUACAGGUCCGUUGUGAAAACUCGAGGCUCAACCUCGAGACGCCGGUGGAAACCGUAAAGCUAGAGUCCGGAAGAGGAGAGUGGAAUUCCUGGUGUAGCGGUGAAAUGCGCAGAUAUCAGGAGGAACACCGGUGGCGAAGGCGGGUCUCUGGGCCGAUACUGACGCUGAGGAGCGAAAGCGUGGGGAGCGAACAGG